UACGAAGGGGGCUAGCGUUGCUCGGAAUCACUGGGCGUAAAGCGCACGUAGGCGGAUUGCUAAGUCAGGGGUGAGAUCCUGGAGCUCAACUCCAGAACUGCCUUUGAUACUGGCGAUCUUGAGUCCGGGAGAGGUGAGUGGAAUUCCGAGUGUAGAGGUGAAAUUCGUAGAUAUUCGGAAGAACACCAGUGGCGAAGGCGGCUCACUGGACCGGCAUUGACGCUGAGGUGCGAAAGCGUGGGGAGCAAACAGG
rnacentral:rRNA from 1 species